GGAAAGUUUCCCGCCAUAUGACUAAUACCCGUGUUGUGUUUACAUGACCCGAUUUAAAUCCAUAUCAUAAAAAGGGUCGGAUGUGCCCUAAUCAAAAUGAGAACAAAUUGGGACUCAUCAAAGGGGAGGGGAAGAACGAAGAAAGAAGAAAAAGAAGCACGCUACGGCAAAAUAAGGGCAGAUGGUCAGGGAAACUUGUAAUUGUGGAAGACAAACACUACUGAUGACAUCAUGGACAGACAAACCCAGGAAGUCGAUUUGUGCGAUGUCCUCAGUAUAAGGAAUCGGGAGGCUGUAAAUAUUGGGACUGGGUUGAUCUUGAGAUGUGUCAAAGGUCUAAAGAAAUAAUACCUGGACUGUUACGGUCCAAGAACAAGAUUGCAGCUGAGGUCGAGAAGUGGAAGGAGAUGGCCAAGGUACAGCAAGGAAAUGCGAGGAGGUUGAAGAUGUACCUGAUGCUUCAUUGGGGUGUCAUUCUCCUGUGGCUGUUUUUCUUCAAAUAUGGGGCAAAAGGUUAAAAUGAAGUUGGAGAAGAAGCUGCCCUAUGAUGUGGGAAAUUAUUAUUUUUGCCUAAUGCUGGGAUCAAAGGUCAUUAGGGGGUAGGUUAUCCAAGUUUCGUAGUUGUGGGUAUUCGGAAUAGGUUGUGUAGUGAACUAUGUACAUAAGUUGGUUCUGGUGUUGAUACUGCAAUACUGCAAAUGGAUGAGUGUUUUUGCUGGUUAUGUAAUUUGUAGUAUCAGCUUUUACUUUUGGAUGUAAUGCAUUAUUAGUGGAGCCUAA